rnacentral:tRNA from 1 species
GUAGUUCAGUUUGGUUAGAAUGCCGGCCUGUCACGCCGGAGGUCGAGGGUUCGAGCCCCUUC